rnacentral:snoRNA from 1 species
GGUCCUGGUGAUGACAGACGACAUUGUCUGGCCGAUCCCCAUGGGGACGUGAGGACAUGUCCUGCAAUUCUGAGGGGAUU